rnacentral:rRNA from 1 species
UACGGAGGGUGCAAACGUUGCUCGGAAUCAUUGGGCGUAAAGCGCACGUAGGCGGUCCCUUAAGUCGGGUGUGAAAGCCCUCGGCUUAACCGAGGAAGUGCAUUCGAAACUGGGGGACUUGAAUACUGGAGAGGAUGGCGGAAUUCCCGGUGUAGAGGUGAAAUUCGUAGAUAUCGGGAGGAACACCAGCGGCGAAGGCGGCCAUCUGGACAGAUAUUGACGCUGAGGUGCGAAAGCGUGGGGAGCAAACAGGAUUAGAAACCCCCGUA